UGUCUACGGCCAUACCUAGGCGAAAACACCAGUUCCCGUCCGAUCACUGCAGUUAAGCGUCUGAGGGCCUCGUUAGUACUAUGGUUGGAGACAACAUGGGAAUCCGGGGUGCUGUAGGCUCCUUCUUUAUUAUUGCUAUUU